AACGAACGCUGGCGGCGUGCCUAAUACAUGCAAGUCGAACGAGAAAGCCCUUUCGGGGGUAAGUAGAGUGGCGCACGGGUGAGUAACACGUAGGUGACCUGCCCUUUGAUGUGGAAUAACUCCGAGCAAUUGGAGCUAAUACCGCAUAAGAUUGUAGAAUUUGAAAAUAUACAAUGAAAGAUUGCCUCUAUUUAUAAGCAAUCAUCGAAGGAGGGGCAUGGGGGACAUUAGCUAGUUGGUGGGGUAAUGGCCUACCAAGGCAUCGCAUGUCUAGCCGGUUUGAGAGGAUGAUCGGCCACACUGGAACUGAGACACGGUCCAGACUCCUACGGGAGGCAGCAGUAGGGAAUAUUGCGCAAUGGGCGAAAGCCUGACGCAGCAACGCCGCGUGAGUGAGGAAGGCCUUAGGGUUGUAAAGCUCUGUCGGAAUGAAAAAAGGGCGAUAGGUCUAAUAGGCCUGUCGAUUGAUGGUACAUUCAGAGGAAGCACCGGCUAACUUCGUGCCAGCAGCCGCAGUAA
rnacentral:rRNA from 1 species